rnacentral:tRNA from 1 species
GCUUGGGUAGCUCAGUUGGUAGAGCACUUGCCCUGCGAAGGCAAAGGUCCCGAGUUCGAGUCUCGGUCCGACACA